GUGCUCACUUCAGCGGCACGUAUACUAAAAUUGGAAUCGUACAGAGAAAAUUAGCGUGGCCCCUAUACAAGGAUGAUACACAAAUUCGUGAAGUGUUCCGUAUUUUU
ensembl:snRNA U6 U6 spliceosomal RNA